UACGUAGGGCGCGAGCGUUGUCCGGAAUUAUUGGGCGUAAAGAGCUCGUAGGCGGCCUGUUGCGUCCGCUGUGAAAUCCCGGGGCUUAACCCCGGGCGUGCAGUGGAUACGGGCUGGCUGGAGGCAGGCAGGGGAGAACGGAAUUCCCGGUGUAGCGGUGAAAUGCGCAGAUAUCGGGAGGAACACCUGUGGCGAAAGCGGCUCACUGGACCAUUACUGACGCUGAGGCACGAAAGCUAGGGGAGCAAACAGG
rnacentral:rRNA from 1 species